AUGGAUUGGGUGCAGGUGGAAGGUAUCAAAUCUGCUUCUGCCUCCAUGGUGCCUGCAAUGGCGGCGGUCCAUGGUUUCCAAUGCAAUUUUCUUGAAAUUAUAUAUAUACCGAGAGCGUUUGAGUCCAGCAACAGUGGCAUAAUAGCUAAUGAAUUGGUACAACUUUGUGAUCAUCCAAACAUGGAAAUCAAUCACACUUCAGGUUCAAUCAUUCAUAUGAUUUUCUACGACAUCGUUGGAUCACAUAGUCGUUGCUUUUCUCGGACUCUCCACAGAUUAUCAGUUGGCCGCUCAAGUAGGCGUUAG
rnacentral:rRNA from 1 species